UACGUAGGGUGCGAGCGUUAAUCGGAAUUACUGGGCGUAAAGUGUGCGCAGGCGGCCGCGCAAGUCGAGUGUGAAAGCCCCGGGCUUAACCCGGAAACUGCCAUUGAUACUAUUUGUCUUGAAUACUGUGGAGGUCAGCGGAAUAUGUCAUGUAGCGGUGAAAUGCUUAGAUAUGACAUAGAACACCAAUUGCGAAGGCAGCUGGCUACACAAAUAUUGACACUGAGGCACGAAAGCGUGGGGGAUCAAACAGG
rnacentral:rRNA from 1 species